rnacentral:piRNA from 1 species
UGUAUACGGCAUUAGUUAUAU